rnacentral:misc_RNA from 1 species
UACGAGGGCUCCAAGCGUUAUCCGGAAUUAUUGGGCGUAAAGCGCACGUAGGUGGCUAUGUUAGUCUUGUGUGAAAUCUCAACUGCUUAACAGUGAGAAUGGCAUAGGAAACGGCAUGGCUUGAGGAUGUAAGAGGUUACUAGAACUCACGGUGUAGGGGUGAAAUCCGUUGAUAUCGUGGGGAAUACCAAAGGCGAAGGCAUGUAACUGGUACAUUCCUGACACUAAGGUGCGAAAGCGUGGGUCGCGAAUGGG